GUGGCUUAUAAAUUAAUCAUUCGAAGGUGCUUCAACGUUAAGGACAUGUGACACUCGAGCAUUCAGAAAGAUCUUUAAAUUGUAUACAAAGACUAAUUCCAAACAGGUAACCAGGACAAUGUCCUUUUUAUUAUAUUCUCAAUGCAUAUGAUGUAAUCAUCUAUUUCUUCCUCUGUUGGAGGGGUUCCAGAUAUGUCUGCAAUCUUAUAAAUAUCAAAAAUCAAAAUCAAAAUCUGAGAACCUAAGCAGCCACUAAUUUUAACCUAACUCAAGGAAAUAUCAGAAUUGCAACACCAACAGUAACACACUACGGUGUUCUCAAUUUUGAGCCCCCACCAAUGCCAUGUGCCCUACGAGGUCCAACACUCGGUUGCUGCAAUGGAUACAAUUCAAAAAUAAGCAAAAAGUUCAGCUUUGAAAAAUGUCCUAUGUGCAUGAGAUUUUAAAUUGCAGUCGUGGUUGCUCUGCGGACAUUUGUUUUACAGUAAAUUAAGGGAAAAUUUGGUCAUGUCGUAGCUGAGACUUCAAAAUCCACAAUAUUGAGGCCGCAUUUGCAGUUACGGACCACAAUUUAAAACCAUGAUGUGUGUGCAAUACUAUUCUAUGAAAAAAGUUUUAGAUGUAAUUACAAAUACACAUACCUGUAACCCCACUCAUUGUCAUACCACGAGACCAGCUUCACGAAGGACUUGCUAAGCCCAAUCCCUGCCUUAGCAUCGAAGAUACUCGACCUGUUCGAAAAAGCAUUUUAAAUCAAGGUGUUCAUUUGGAAAUCAAACAUAUCCCAACACAAUAUUACAAACUCAAACUAAUAGGAAACCAAGAUAAAUAAAGGUCUUGUUUUAUGGCACAUCAGAAUCUGUUUUAAACACAAGGCAGCUCAUGUUCUACGGUAUCUCACUUUCCAACGAAAGUAAUAUAACCCAAUUUAUUUGUAUCAUGAAAUGAAUCAAAUAUCACAUUUUAGCAUGUAUACUUGAUAAAAGCCAAGAGUCUGUCCUAUUAAAGAUGCUGAAGGUAAUUUAUAUUUGAAAUACAGCAACAUUUACUUUACCUUGAAUCACCAAUAAAGUCAUUAGAGACAACAUCCUCAUCUGUGUAUCCAAGAAUUCCCUUCAAUUGUCCCUCUGAAGCAAGCCUUCAUUUUUUUUCAGUCGCAAAAUAAUAGAAAACAACCAAAGGGUUAGUACAAAACAACUCAUCAAGAGAGAAUAUAAGCCAGAGCAGAAAAACAAGAGACGUACUUAAUUGCUGCUUUAACAUCUUCAUAGGAGGCAUUCUUUUGAAGGCGGCAGGUUAAGUCCACAACAGAAACAUUAGCAGUAGGUACGCGAAAUGCCAUUCCAGUGAGUUUUCCAUUUAGUUCAGGAAGGACUUUGCCAACAGCCUGGGAUUUCAUAAAAUACAAAACCAAUUUAAUAAAUGUAUAUGAUAAGCACAGAACCACUCAACAGUUGUCCGUCUCAUACCUUUGCAGCACCAGUUGAACUUGGAAUUAUAUUUUGAGCUGCUCCUCUUCCCCCUCUCCAAUCCUUCAUUGAAGGACCAUCUACAGUCUUUUGUGUUGCUGAGCAGAGACAAAGACAAUAAAUGUUAACAAUGACACUUGUAAACAUGUAAAGUAGUGAUUUAUCCAAAAGAGAAAAAAGAAAGCAAAGGCUUUAAGUGGCAAAUGUGCAAGAGACCUGUUGUUGCAUGCACGGUUGUCAUCAAACCUUCAACUAUACCAAACUCCUCAUGAACCACCUGACAAAUAAUAGUUGGGGAAAAAUUAGAUGCUUGUAUGCAAGUUUCUGACAUGGGAAGGAAAUAAAGUUCACUAAUAUCAAUAGUUCUAUUCCUUGUAUUGAAAGACAUAUUACUAAAAAACUUGAUGAUGAAUCAGUUUCUUGUGAAUUUCAUGAUCCUAUUGGUUUUUAUUUUUAAUAUUAUAUCACACCCUAUCCCCAAAAAAGAGUCAAUUCCAGGAUAUAUGCUCAAGGAAAGAAUAAUAGAUCAAGCGGUAUUGAAAUAAAAUAAGUUGAAGAACCGAGAAAAAUGUAUAUUUCAGGUCAUAUAAAUUCCCUAAAUAGAUUAUUUCAGACUUCCCCGUUAAGGAUACCCUAAAAGCACUAAGAAUUUUCUACCAUCAUUUUCCAUGUCCUUCAAGAGGAGGGAACUCAAUAAAGAUGGCAUUACGCAAUGCAAACAAACCUUGGCAAGAGGUGCAAGGCAAUUUGUUGUACAGCUUGCAUUAGAAACAAUGUCCAUGUUCGAGUUGUAUGUCUUCUCAUUCACUCCUACCACAAACAUAGGUGCAUCAGCAGAUGGAGCUGAUAUUAUGAUUUUCU
rnacentral:lncRNA from 1 species